GUCGUGAUGAAAAACUGUGAACCAUUGGUGUUGGGUCCUGCAUUGGCCAUAGAUAGUAUACCAGGUCCUGUGUGCUUCAGCUCGAAGUUUUCGUCCCUGUAAGAAGUACAUAGUGAAUUAGGUGGUAAACCUUUACAGUACAGAUCCAUUUACCGAAGUCUAAGUUAAAAAGAAGAAGAAGAAAAAAAAAAAUCUAUUCACAACAAGUUGCCAUGACUGGGUGUGCACGAGGGGGAAGCUGCCCCCCUAACAUCCCCCUGGGAACUUUAUCUUCACCUCAGUAAGUUUAACAAGACUGAGCUGAAACUCAAGAGCAUCGAGUCCAUGAAACUCAAGAGCAUCGAGUGGACUCAGGCUGUGAGCAGCGCUUUCUGCAAUCUUUUGUGCUAUACACACUAUUAUUUGUUAUAUGUUAUCAUUCGUGUCUGCAGAAAACUACUUGUACCGAUGACUUUUUAUCUUCUAAGAGAAUAUCAUCAAUUUGCCCUAGUUUAGUGCCUCCAUACUGUAAAGAUUAAUUUUUUAAAAAUAUUCAGGCAAAUCAGAAAAAAAUAAAUAAAAAAUAGCACAUUGAUGCAUCACUUUAAGAAAAUAAAUAAUUGUAUUUCCAUGUACAAAAAAACAAAUAUUGCAACAAGAAAAUACUAAUUUCACUGUAAAAAAAUAUAUUAUUGAACUUUAAAACAUUCAAAACUUCUUGAUAUUGUUGUUGAUCAAGUUUUGUGACAUUCUCACAUUCUGGAGAUGCCCAUGAACUUAUAAAUACCCAAAAAUACAUGAAUCAUAGGCAAUAAGUAAUGUACAUAAUGUGAGACUCAUUCAUUACCAGUCUUCUACUCACUCCCAGAAAGACAAACAGCGAUCAAUAUGGAUAACAGGGUAAUGACUUGCUUUUGAAACAUUUUGAUGUUUGUUUGUUUUUAAUGAAAUCCACUGAUUUCAAUUAUUUUGAGCAUUGUUCCUUGUGUAAAUAAAUAGUUGAGAAUAUGCAAGUACAAUUUUCAUCAACAAUUUUGAUUUCAUAGUCCUGAUAGCACUGGCGGGCAUGAAGUAUAUCAGGGAAAUUAUGUGUUAAAACUGGUUGAAAUAGAAUUAACAUAAAACAUAAAUGAGUAAAAAAAAAAAAAAAAAAAAAAAA